UAAGGAAUAUUGGACAAUGGUCGCAAGACUGAUCCAGCCAUGCCGCGUGAAGGAUGAAGGCCCUAUGGGUUGUAAACUUCUUUUGUACGGGAAAAAACCUCUCUACGUGUAGAGAGCUGAUUGUACCGUAAGAAUAAGGAUCGGCUAACUCCGUGCCAGCAGCCGCGGUAAUACGGAGGAUCCAAGCGUUAUCCGGAUUCAUUGGGUUUAAAGGGUGCGUAGGCGGAAUGAUAAGUCAGUGGUGAAAGCCUGCAGCUUAACUGCAGAACUGCCAUUGAUACUGUCAAUCUUGAGUACAUUUGAUGUGGGCGGAAUGUGUCAUGUAGCGGUGAAAUGCUUAGAUAUGACACAGAACACCGAUUGCGAAGGCAGCUCACAAAACUGUAACUGACGCUGAGGCACGAAAGCGUGGGUAUCAAACAGG
rnacentral:rRNA from 1 species